CAGAGGGCGCCAGAGACCAUCGCCAUGGUUAGGCGUGUCCGCACUGAAGCGCACCUGUGUUGCAUCAGAUCGUCAUUUCUAGGAUUCAAAAGGAGCAGACUGCCAGCACUUCAUUGCCUGAGUGUUUUGCCAGGAAUGGUGCUCCCUCGUGACUUCCUGAGAAGACUCCGUUCUGGUUUCUUGGAUUUCCCUACCUCGUGGAUAAUACCCACUGGUUGUCCGAGCUCCACCCUCACCCUCUCCGUCUGAUCCCAAGCAGACUCUUGAUAUCUCCAGCUGGCAGUCGGACCGCUUCUCCGUUUUUCCCACCACGCUCGAACUUACCUGUCCGCCCUCCAACGCAGUAUCCACGACUGGGUUCGAACCUUUCCUCUACCAUCUCUUUAGGACCUGGAUUUCUGUAAGGACCCACACUAGGAGACCUAAGCCCCGAACCUGCAGAGUCACCCCUCCUGGACGGACAAAGCCUCUACAACAAGUAAGACUGUUCUUAUUAACUUUGUAGUUCCACUCUCCGACUCCCCUCAAACACAUCACCUCCUCUAUCGUUCCGCAGUGAACAAGACGUCGCCGUGAGCCCGUUCCAGAUCUCCUUGUUUGCAAUAAAUAUCAUUUUACUGAUUUCUGUCCUGUGGUUGUUCUGCAUGUGGGUAAAGAAGUUAGACACCAACAUGACAGGGGCCUAAUUUAUUUACAUUUACGCCUACUUUCAUAACGUGCAAAAUAACAAUACACAUUUAACAGGAAAAUUAUACUAUUUCUAAAUAAAUCACAUUUGACUAUAUAGAAUCCAGUAAUAUCGGAUAUAAAACCUUUUUAGUAUUUAUGCUGCACAACUACAGUGGCUCCAAUGAAAGUGUUUUUUUGAUGGAAAUAUUCUUGCUCCAUCCUGAAAAGGAGCUCAUGUAUGCAGGUUGGAGUCAUUGAUCUGGCAUUUAUUUUUAGCAUAUCUGUCACCAUAGAGGCAAACCAUGCCUCCUCUUUGUGGGCUCUCUCCUCUCUAUGCUGGUCAAUGGCUUCCAGCCUCUGUCAAAUCAUCCUCCCUCCAUCAUCCUGUUUGCAUUCUUUUUUUCUGGUCAGAGCAGAACAGAGAGAUGGUUCUCUUGGGGCCUCAGACUCCAUGGAGCAGCCUGGCAGGGCUUUUUCCUGGGUGUCGGACUCACUGGCUGCUGGAGAUGGAUCCUUGGGUGGUGGUCUUGCUGGAGCAAGAAUUUGAGGUCACCCAAUUGGAACUACUACUGAAGUCCUAAUUUUGUACACAAUGUAGAAUAAUUGCAUAUUGAUGGCAGACCAUAAAUCAAAUCAAUGUAUUUUAUGAUUAAUUUUGAUUUAAUAAAAGCAAUUUAUUUUAUUUACUUUAUAAGGUAUGACAACUUUUGGAUAGUUAUUUAAAUUCUUAACCAUCUUAAAAUUGGCAAAUACUAACUUCAACAGGCACAUUAGUUUCCGUCUCCCGGCAUUUUACAACGUUGUCCAGCCAGGACAACAUAUAAAAAAUAGGUGGCACACCUCCCUUUGCUCCAUCCCCACUUUUGCCUCUCAUUUUUCUCUAAAUCUAUCCCUAAGGUACUUCCAUUUACUGCAACGAAAUGCCUCGUCCUUUCCAAGGGUCUGGGCUAUUUCAUUCCAUGAUUUCUUUUACUCUUUAGAAGUUUUUAUAUUUUCUCAAAGAUGUGUCAUAUAGUGAUAGAAUUAAAUAAUAGUAUAUAUAAAUACUCCUUAUCUUUAAGGACUGCUAGGCUCUUUGUUUCUAGAAUGUGUGCCUUUUACUGGUGAUGCAGGAAAGUGAUAAGUGUGCCAAAUUGGAAGCAGAUGCCAGCCACUCUGGAGCCAAAAUUGUGAGCUGACCAGACAGGAAACCCCCAAAGGCUAACCGUCAAAGUUUAUGACAGACACGAGAACUGUGCUUGAGACCUCGGAUGCAAAAAGACAGGAAACUUCAUUCUGUUAGAAAAGAUUUAUGACUGUGUAUUAGUGGCUGAUUUUUGCUCCUCCCCCUUCAAGCAGUCGCUAACAAAUCUUUGUAACUAGGGACCGCCCAAAAGAAAAGAAAAAUAAGAAUGCGAAAGAGCUUGCUUCAGAGCAAUAGAUUAUAAUUGAAGCAAGCUGCUAUUCGUGCUUCGCUCUUGAGUGUAAAAUCUAAAACACUCACCUCUCUUCUUUUCUGUGUCUGAUUGAAGUGCUUAGGUUAUUUGAAUUCUUGGACAUACUGACAUUUUCACAGAUUUUAUAUCUGAUUGUUUUGUAGAUAUUAAGACAUUUAAUUAUCCUAAUAUCAGAGUGUUAUCAGCUGUUAGUCUCCAAUUUGACUUUUGACCUUCUCUUUGCAGGAGUGGUUAGUGUCUCAGAAAUGAAUGCUGUGAUUGGUUGAAUGUGAUGGUGGGAGGAGGAACUGCUGGUGCUUUUAUAAAACAUAGAAACUUUAACUGGACCAAACCAUAGAAGUAAAAAACAUGAAGAUCCUCAGAGUGGAUCAGUA